GACGAACGCUGGCGGCGUGCUUAACACAUGCAAGUCGAACGGAAAGGCCCUGCUUUUGUGGGGUGCUCGAGUGGCGAACGGGUGAGUAACACGUGAGUAACCUGCCCUUGACUUUGGGAUAACUUCAGGAAACUGGGGCUAAUAUCGGAUAGGAGCUCCUGCUGCAUGGUGGGGGUUGGAAAGUUUCGGCGGUUGGGGAUGGACUCGCGGCUUAUCAGCUUGUUGGUGGGGUAGUGGCUUACCAAGGCUUUGACGGGUAGCCGGCCUGAGAGGGUGACCGGCCACAUUGGGACUGAGAUACGGCCCAGACUCCUACGGGAGGCAGCAGUGGGGAAUAUUGCACAAUGGGCGGAAGCCUGAGGCAGCAACGCCGCGUGCGGGAUGACGGCCUUCGGGUUGUAAACCGCUUUCGCCUGUGACGAAGCGUGAGUGACGGUAAUGGGUAAAGAAGCACCGGCUAACUACGUG
rnacentral:rRNA from 1 species